UGGGGAAUAUUGGACAAUGGGGGGAACCCUGAUCCAGCGACGCAGCGUGAGUGAAGAAGUAUUUCGGUAUGUAAAGCUCUAUCAGCAGGGAAGAAAGAAAUGACGGUACCUGACUAAGAAGCCCCGGCUAACUACGUGCC
rnacentral:rRNA from 1 species